rnacentral:rRNA from 1 species
GGGUGAGUACACGUGAGUAACCUGCCCUUGACUCUGGGAUAAGCCUGGUAAACUGGGUCUAAUACCGGAUACGACCAUCUGGCGCAUGUCAUGAGUGGUGAAAAGCUUUUGUGGUUUUGGAUGGACUCGCGGCCUAUCAUUCUUGUUGGUGGGGUAAUGGCCUACCAAGGCGACAACAGGUAGCCGGCCUGAGAGGGUGACCGGCCACACUGUGACUGAGACACGGCCCACACUCCUACGGGAGGCACCACUGGGGAAUAUUGCACAAUGGGCGCAAGCCUGAUGCACCGACGCCCCGUGAGGGAUGACAGCCUUCUGGUUGUAAACCUCUUUCACUACGGAAAAAACGAAAGUGACGGUACCUGCAGAAGAAGCUCCGGCUAACUACGUGCCAACAACCGCGGUAAUACGUACGGCGCAAGCGUUAUCCGGAAUUAUUGCGCGUAAAGAGCUCAUAUGCGGUUUGUCGCGUCUGCUGUGAAAGACCGGGGCUCAACUCCGGAUCUGCAGUGGGUACGGGCAGACUAUACUGCAGUAAGUGAGACUGUAAUUCCUGGUGUAGCGGUGAAAUGCUCAGAUAUCAGGAGGAACAUCGCAUGGCGAACGCAAGUCUCUGGGCUGUAACUGACGCUGACGAGCGAAAGCAUGGACAGCGAACAGGAUUAGAUACCCUGGUAGUCCAUGCCGUAUACGUUGGGCACUAAGUGUGGAGGACAUUCCA